rnacentral:rRNA from 1 species
AGUGAACGCUGGCGGUAGGCCUAACACAUGCAAGUCGAACGGCAGCACAGGAGAGCUUGCUCUCUGGGUGGCGAGUGGCGGACGGGUGAGGAAUACAUCGGAAUCUACUCUGUCGUGGGGGAUAACGUAGGGAAACUUACGCUAAUACCGCAUACGACUUACGGGUGAAAGCAGGGGGCCUUCGGGCCUUGCGCGAUUGAAUGAGCCGAUGUCGGAUUAGCUAGUUGGCGGGGUAAAGGCCCACCAAGGCGACGAUCCGUAGCUGGUCUGAGAGGAUGAUCAACCACACUGGAACUGAGACACGGUCCAGACUCCUACGGGAGGCAGCAGUGGGGAAUAUUGGACAAUGGGCGCAAGCCUGAUCCAGCCAUACCGCGUGGGUGAAGAAGGCCUUCGGGUUGUAAAGCCCUUUUGUUGGGAAAGAAAUCCAGCUGGCUAAUACCCGGUUGGGAUGACGGUACCCAAAGAAUAAGCACCGGCUAACUUCGUGCCAGCCGCCGCAGUAA